GUUCUCCCAUACUAGGUUUCUGGGAGACCAUGUUGCGCCUCUCGAGGUAGCGGGAGGUGCAGUUCUCUGUCAGCGGGGUUCCCACCAGCCGUCCGCGUAGUGCUCUGUGGCAGGUUAUGAAUCUGCAUGACUUCCUGAGAACUGUUCUGAGCAUGUGGUGUUGUGGGUCAUGACCGCCUGGGCAGUGGUCCCCAACUUGUCUGCCAAGACUACGCAACAACUGACAGCUGCCUGUGGAAUGAAAGCAAAGGCCAACUUCUCAGAGAUCCUGCAAGAUUACAAGGAUCCCUCUGGAGCCCUUCCUCAUGCCCGGGAGCCCUCUGUUGGCCCUCCAGCCCCUUUAGCAACCCUCUGUUCUGCUUUGGCCCCUCCUCUGGCCUUUUAGUUUCCUCUCGCAGACCUCUCUUAGC
rnacentral:lncRNA from 1 species